CCUACGGGAGGCAGCAGUGGGGAAUUUUCCGCAAUGGGCGAAAGCCUGACGGAGCAACGCCGCGUGAGGGAUGAAGGCCUCUGGGCUGUAAACCUCUUUUAUCAAGGAAGAAGAUCUGACGGUACUUGAUGAAUAAGCCACGGCUAAUUCCGUGCCAGCAGCCGCGGUAAUACGGGAGUGGCAAGCGUUAUCCGGAAUUAUUGGGCGUAAAGCGUCCGCAGGCGGCCCUUCAAGUCUGCUGUUAAAAAGUGGAGCUUAACUCCAUCAUGGCAGUGGAAACUGUUGGGCUUGAGUGUGGUAGGGGCAGAGGGACUUCCCGGUGUAGCGGUGAAAUGCGUAGAUAUCGGGAAGAACACCAGUGGCGAAGGCGCUCUGCUGGGCCAUCACUGACGCUCAUGGACGAAAGCCAGGGGAGCGAAAGGGAUUAGAUACCCCUGUAGUCCUGGCCGUAAACGAUGAACACUAGGUGUCGGGGGAAUCGACCCCCUCGGUGUCGUAGCCAACGCGUUAAGUGUUCCGCCUGGGGAGUACGCACGCAAGUGUGAAACUCAAAGGAAUUGACCGG
rnacentral:rRNA from 1 species